AUACGUAGGUGGCAAGCGUUGUCCGGAUUUAUUGGGCGUAAAGCGAGUGCAGGCGGUCUUUUAAGUCUGAUGUGAAAGCCUUCGGCUUAACCGAAGAAGGGCAUCGGAAACUGGGAGAUUUGAGUGCAGAAGAGGAGAGUGGAACUCCAUGUGUAGCGGUGGAAUGCGUGGAUAUAUGGAAGAACACCAGUGGCGAAGGCGGCUGUCUGGUCUGUAACUGACGCUGAGGCUCGAAAGUAUGGGUAGC
rnacentral:rRNA from 1 species